rnacentral:lncRNA from 1 species
CCAGCUAAUUUUGCAGAAGAAUGGAAAACAAAAAACCUAAGUUGAAAUCCAACCUUCCACGACAUGUGUAAGGUGCAGAAGGGGUGGGGGGAAAGGCUUUCCCAACAUUUAUUGUUACCUAUCCAGAUGAGGCGGGCAGCUACAGGGUCUCAUGCGUCUCAUUAUGAUUGAAAUUGAAAGAUACCUGCAAUUACAGAAACCUCAUCUACUUUUGGUUAGAAUGUCGCAACUCAUGAAAGCUACUGGUGUUAGUAUGUCCGACUCUCUGUAAUCUUCUCACUACUCUUCCUCUCUAAUCAAUGUGUCCUAUUAUAGUUAUUUGCUCUUUGGAUUUAGGGUUCCAAAUUCCACUGGUGGGCCACCUGAUAUUAUAGUACUGGACACUGCUAUGUCUAGGCUUUUCUUUCAUCGUCAGGGGAUCCCUCAAUAGAGUGCAUACAUUUUUCAAACUAGGACUGUUGAAAAAAAAAAGAAAAAAGGAAAAAAAAAAAAGAAGUAAUUUUCAUUGGUUGGUAGGAAAAGAUUUUUUUAUGACCUCGUGGGUUUGUUAUAUUAUCCCAUGAGUUGAGCUUUAUGUAAUAAAUUUAGGUUAGUUUCAUGGUUUGGAUUAAAUAUAUCUAAUUAUUUUUAAUUCAAAAGUUAAAAGAGAGAAAAAAUGAGAAAAGUAAGAGGAUAUUCGAACAAAUUUUAGGCUACAAUAAAUCUAGUAAAAUAAUAAUUUUGAUAUUAAGAGAAAUUACUAUAGUCAAUAAAUAAAUAAUUUAUUAAUUUAGAGAGUAUCAUCCCUCUACUAUAUUGAAUUUGUACAUCUAGUUUAUAAAUCCAAAAAAUAGAUAUAAUAAAAAAUUAAUAAAUAAAAGUCUAAAUACUUUUUAAAAGUAAUUAUUAAUUUUAGAAACUUGAAAUAAUUAAGAGAUGUAUCAAAACUUAAUAUCCUAAAAGAUAAAGAAAUUUCAAUAACAUGAUUUUAGGCGUGCAAUGAUUCCAAAAAGAGAGUUAGAAUAAAAAAGUAAAAAUAAUUUAAAAUAUUAUUCAAUAUUAUGUUUUAAAUUUUUAUUUGCUAUUUUUUUUAUAGAAAUUUUAACAAUUAUAAAUUUAUAUUUCAUUGGACCCUUAAAACUUUUUAAAUUAUCUUUUAUUAUAUACAAAGAGAUUUAUUAUUGUUUCAUACUACGAUGUUAAGUGUAUUUUAAGAGGAACGGAAUUAAAUCCAAACAAUAUAAAAUAAUUUUUUUUAUGAAAUUAAAAUUAUUUAAAUUUACAAAUCCAAUCAUAUUGUGGGCCCUUAAUUCAGUAAGACUCGUGCAGACGAUGAUUUUUAUUAUUUCUAAUUAAAAGAUUAGGACCAUGAAGUCGUGGAUCUCAUUUCCUGCCAUAAGUAAAAUAUCAUGACAGCUCAGCUGUAUGGUCCACAACUUACUGUACAGUACUAUCCUCUUAUCAGGUAUAAAAUUGUUGACCUGGACGUCAAAUUAACUUGUCACGUUAAAAAUCAGCACGAGGCCUACGUGACGAGCACUACACCUAACAACUCUAAUGAUGAGGCAAAUGAUACAGGCUUGUGAGGCCCAUAAUUUUCUUUUUGAUUACAUUUUAGACCAGAUAUUAAUAUCACACAUUGUGCUGUGCGAGAACUUUCAUAGAACGACACAACUAGCUUUGACCUUCAUUUUUCUUCCAUCUCUUCUUUCUCGGGCUCAUCGCUCGAACUGUAAUUUGUAAAGCCCGUUGGUUUUGUCACUUUCUUUCAGUUUGAUCCGUCUGGUUGAUAGGCGAUUAACACAAUGGUUCCUCACACAAAAGCCUAGUUUUAUUGUUAAGAUUGAUGAACCUGGUAGACAUGCUAGGGGGUAAAUAGCUCUCGUCUGAGGGAAGUGCAGUUCGAGAAACUCCACAAGGCGCGUCGACUCCAUCACCUUGUGUUUGGUGAAUGGACCGGGAUCUUUCUUGAGAGUAAUGGAUAGCGAGAAACAGAAGUCCAGAACUAGGAGUUUACGAAAGUGGUUCAAGUGGAAGCACAAGAGAGCCGACCCAUAUAAUUUGAGUGAAUUUUCAGGUUUGCUUUUUCUCCUCCUCUAGUCUGUGGAUUUCCGUUGUAAUUUACUUACAGUACUAUUGGCUUCUAUUUGCAGACGGGGGUGAAGAUGAAGAUGAUGAUUACUCUGGCGAUAUUUUUGUUAGGUCUUUUGAGAUGGAACCAUGCAGCAUAUUAACCAAUGAGUUAAGGUGAGGUUUCAGGAUAUAUAUUUUCCUAUGAGAUCGAAAUGGAUGAAAGAUGACAAGAUUGUUUUGCUAUAUGAGUGAUGAUAUAUGACUAUAUCUUUUAAUCAAUUUCCUAAACUAUCAAAAAAAAUAAUAUAUAUAAUUUUAUCUUUAUACUCCAGGAUUUUUGUGGGUACCUGGAAUGUUGCUGGAAGAUCGCCGGUGGGGAGCUUGGCUGUAGAUUUGGAUGAGUGGUUAAAUCCCCAGGAUGCUGCCGACGUGUAUGUUCUUGGGUAUGUGACGAAUUGAAGAUUAUCUGAAAUCUAAAAUCAGGACUUCGUAACACCACUGUAACAGCAAAGGUUUUUGUCUCGCAGAUUCCAAGAGAUUGUCCCCUUAAACACGCUGACGGUGAUUGGCUCGGAAGACCCAACCGAAGCAACCAAAUGGAACUUGCUCAUUGGGAAAACUCUUAAUGACAAGUAUGGGUGCCCUUGGUUAACGCCCAUGUUGAAUCCAAUCUCAAGUGACAACUACUUCUAUGUGGGAAUCCCUGGCUCUGAAAAAAGGAGGCACAGCGUUAGCACACUGCCGGAGACACCAACGAGAUCAGGGUCAGUAAUCCAGCAUGAUAGGCCAUUUGGGCGCAGUAAGUACAAGUUAAUGGCAAGCAAGAAGAUGGUCGGGGUCUUCAUAAGCGUCUGGAUGAGGAGGGAAUUGCUCAGGAGGUAUUGCAUUUCAAACGUGAAAGUAAGUUCAGUACCCUGUGGAAUCAUGGGUUAUUUGGGAAACAAAGGCUCGGUUUCCGUUAGCAUGUCAAUUGAAGGAACUAGCUUUUGCUUCAUUGCUGCCCAUCUAGCUUCUGGUGAGAAGAAGGGCGACGAAGGGCGUAGGAAUCACCAAGUCUCUGAAAUUUUUAGGCGAACUACCUUCCCUAGACUCCCUGAAGAUGAUGAUAAUCCGCAUCCUUACACCAUCUUAGGACAUGAGUAAGUGGUCAAACUCUCAUCAAAUCAUAUGAGAAUUUGAGAAUACUGUUGUCAAAUCUGUCCAGGUUGAUUUCCAAUUCUCUUGGACCCAUGCGUGAGCAAGGUCUCAAUUUUGAUGAGAUGUUGCAAUUUUGUUUUGAUCUAGUCAUUUCAACACUUUUGAUAGCAGUAUUUUCAUCCCUAUAGAAAGAGAUUAAAAACUAAAUAGUCUACCCAUAUAGAAUAUGGCUUUUGAUAAAAUUUUAAUAUGGGUGGGAAAGAAUUAAUUGAAGAAUGAAGGCAACAUGAAAUGGAUACCUCCAUAUUAAAUGAAAAGUUCAUUUUUUUUUAAUGACAAUUUAAUAUGUCAUGGAACAGUCGGAUAUUCUGGUUGGGGGACCUCAACUAUAGAUUAUGCCUGGAGGACAACUUAGCCAGGAAGCUGAUAAAAAGACAAGACUGGAGAGCAUUACAAGAGUUUGAUCAACUAAGGAGGGAGCAAGAGGAUGGUGGAGUAUUCCAAGGUUGGAAAGAGGGCAACAUAGAAUUUGCUCCUACCUACAAGUACUCUACAUCAAAUUGCAAUCGAUACUCAGGUGGGCUUCCAAACAGAUCAGGAGAAAAGCAAAGAACUCCGGCAUGGUACAGUCAGUCAACCAUAUUCUGGAUAUUUGAUGCAGUGAUGCUUUUUACUAUUAUGAGUAUUGCCUCCUUUGGUCAGGAUUUAGUAUAAUUUUGGUAUAUGGGCCCAUCAAGGGACCUAGGUCACGGGCCAUAUAUAUGAUGAGCCCGGGGCCUUGUCUAACCUGCAAAUGCUACAGUUCUAGCAUGAAUAUUUUUUUCAACUCUCACUAUUUCCCUUUAAUUAAAUAGUUUCAUGAGGAUGAUCCAUGAAAAGAGGUAUUGGUUAUGGCAACAGGUGUGACAGGAUUCUAUGGUAUGGAAAGGGAGUAAAGCAACUGACCUACUUUCGGAGUGAGAGUAAGUUCUCAGAUCAUCGCCCUGUAUCUGCCCUUUUCUCGACACAGAUUGAAGUUGUCAAGUC